GGCAUCUGCAAGAAGACUCAACGUGAUUCGCCCACUCCCCGUUCCUCUGGAAUUCCACCCUCGGUCACGCGCCAUUCACCUCCCUCCUUCCCCCCCGAAUGCACACGAGGACCUGGAUCGAGCACUCCCGCGGGGCUGGCUGUUUAAAUGAAGCCUCGGGACGAGCGGCCUGGCUGCUGGAGAGCCCUCGGCGCUCUCCGGGGCGAUUGCCGCCGCUCGAGCGAAUGUCGUCGCCUCUGCGCGCCGCCGCGGUCUAACAGUUCACUAUUAUAUAGAGCGACAAUACCGACAGUAUACAUCAACAACAGUAUCGAUCAACAACAGGAUAUACGUGCAACGGCGAUUCUUCGCAUGGAUAUCUCAAGAACCGUCGGAGAUCAACUCAUCCCGUCACACUUUCGAGGUUGACAAAAGGACUGCCGCUUUUUAGAAUGUCAAUACGCUGCUGGUACGUGGAUAAACUCGCACUUGCAUGAUAACGUGGAAUUUCCAUCGCCGGCCCACAGGAAAAAAUGUCUUCCCGAAUGAACCUGGAGAAUCCUAGACGUGCCUUCGUCUGUCUCUGCGAGCCGCAGCAAGAUUCGUAACGUGGUGCCCAUCGCUCUCACGCCACCUCCACGAUGGGAAUAUUCGCCUCGUUCCCCCCACUUCUGUCUCUCCAUCAGCCCCCCGGCCCUCUGGGAGUGGCAUAAUUCCAGCAGCAAUGGUCCUUUACAACAACAACUCUGGACCGGUCUCGAUAUUCAGUGUCUCAUCAUCGUCAUCACUGAAGUCAGGCUCACGUGAGUCAAUGUUAGUGAAUGUGAAUUGCCUAGAUGUUAUUGCCCCCCCCCCCCUCUCCGUUGGUUAUGAGUUCCGGUCUCCGCUCGCCCCACUACUCCGCUCAUCUCGGACUCGGGGAGGAUUGGACGGCGCGUGGAUUGGUGAAGAAUCUCCUCUUCCGGUUUCCAUCAACAACGAUCGCAGCAGCAGCAUCACCAACAGCAUCACCCAAACCAACGUGGCCCCAUAGCCCAAUCCCCCAAACCCUAAAACCAUACCCAUAACCUAAGCCAUAAACCUCUAACCCUAAAACCGUACACUUAACAUAAUCCCGAACCAUAAACGUGUCCUUAACCUAACCUCUAGCCCCUUAACAAUAAUCCCAUAACCUGAUCCCUAACCCUAUCCCCUCAGCUCGUGGCGAGUGAGCCCCUGGGAGGCGGAGUGAUUAGGGCCACGCCAAUUACCGCUCUCCCCUCCCGUGAUUAAUUAGGGGGCGGGGGGAGGGGGAGUGUGGGUAUGUUAUUCGCCCCACCUCCUUGCGUUGCUUUCACUGCGGGGUCCGUGACCCCUGACCCCGAGGGGGGAAGGGGUGGGGGUUGCUGGCUCACGCAGGGAUGGGCGGUCCCGGCUCCUGAUCGCGUUUGUCUUUCCCCGGGUGCGACGCUGCGUUAAAUGACGUCAUCAAUUGACCUCCUUAAUUGACGUAGUCGCUCAUCAGUAAUUGACACCAUCACUCAUAAAGAGCCGUGCCCCUCACCCCACCCCUGCAGCCCCAGCCCCGCCCCUCGCGGGAUGAGCAGGGCAUCAGCGUACGUGCUUGUGAGUGUCCCUUACUAGGAGCUCCUCGGCAUCACUUGUCCAAAUACUCUGCGCACGUGCGCGCGUGUGGCUCUUAAUAGGAGCUCGCUCACAUCGCCGUGCGGGUAAAUGAGACAUCUCUCUUUAUUGGUCAAUAAUAAUAAUUACAGCAUCGGAGUGACAGCCAAGGGACGGCACGCGUCCGAGAGGUCAUUCAACGAGGAGAUGGAGCCAUUAACUCAGCGUGUGUACAGGUGUGUGUGUGAACGUGUGUCGUUGUGGGGGCGUUUUUACGGUGGAGGGGGGCUGUGC